rnacentral:misc_RNA from 1 species
GUGAAUCAUCGAAUCUUUGAACGCAAAUUGCACUCUCUUCGGAGAGUAUGCCUGUUUGAGGGUCAGCCUAAAAAAAAUGGAGGUAGUCUCUGUUUGGCGGUGACUUUCGUCGGAAAUUGGGCCAUCUUAAACCUUUGGGUUUUUUAAGCGGCUUAAAAUUUUCUUUACGUUUCCAGGAAGGUUUUUAAGAUUUUACUUCUUACUUACGUUUAAGGUAUGGUUCUUUAUUAGAGGUGGCGGUU